CAUCCGUAGCCGCCACACCACCUCCAGCUACCAGCAUAGCUACCCCCCAAACAAUCCAUAGCCCCUCCACUGAAGCUCUCCCUCUCUCUCACCGUCGAUCUGCUCUCCCCCUCACGGAUCUCGCUCAAGCUCCUAUACCCACCGUGUGCCGCCUUCCUCCACAACACAGCACCACAGAAACCGCAACCCAUUGUAUUUCAUAAUCUAGAGAUUUCCAAAAUAGAGGCUUGUUGUGCCCAAAGCUUCUAUCUUUUCCGUAGUUUGAUUCUGUUGUAAAAAAAUAAUAAUGGCUAAAGAUAGACCCAAUUGGGAGGGAUUGCUCAAAUGGAGAGGGAGCUCAUGCUUAAGUGUACGAGGGAAAGUAAUGCAAAUGGAGAUGAAAGGAAGAUUGUGGCAACUUUAUAGAGAUUUUUUAUAUCUACUCUGGCAUGCAUACUUGUUGAUGGGUAACUCUUAUCUUGA